rnacentral:lncRNA from 1 species
GAGGGAAAGGGAGGCAUAGGAGUUGGAUCAAAUGUCUGCCUUCCAGGCUGUCAAAGUUGGUAGAACAGGUUCAUUGCUCACUUUUGCCGUAGCUCCCUAAGGCAUAGUGGUACAAAGGAGCUGAAAGAUGUGGAGAAGUGUUGUGUACACAGACAGGCUGGGAAAAGAGAUUAAAAUGGAAGCUUCAUUGAGCCCUGGGGACUAGCAGUGCCCUGAGGUUUGUGGGCACAUACCCAGAUGCUACUCAAGCAGGGAGUUUUAUCCCCAUGGAAUAAACCAGCUGCUGUUUUAUUUCCUUGUUGACUUUUGUGCUGCACCUGGGGAGUCUUGGUAACUGUCAACAAAGAUUUAGAAGACUAAUAAAGGGCUAGGCGCCCAUGUGGUUGAUCCUGCCUGUAUGUAAAGAUAAAGUAUCUGGGGUUGGAUAGCUUGAGUGAGGGACUCCAGCAGAGUCCAGAAUCAGGGGGUGGGAUUAGCAAAAAAGGGAAUUUGAAUGCUGAUUUUCUCCCCCACCUCAUACUCUGUGUUUAGAACCCGGGGUUUUGAUGGUAGUAGAUAUUUGAGUGAGUCUUCAUUUCUGAAGGCUGAUGGAGGACCUCAAAGGGACCUAAGUUGAUGCCUAGAUCACAAUUCCUACAUUUCCCCCAUCCAAACCUAUAGCAAUGAUUAACUGAUAGAGUCAAAGUGACACCUCCUUUGCCUUGAGGUGUGCACCACAGGGGUGACAUUGUGAUUAAUGAUUUAUACUGUCGUGUCUUUUCUGGAUGAGACCAAGUUUAGAUUUUCCCUGGGCACACAUAUUCACAUGACUCUUGCCCUACACUUCCUAUUUUUCCUCCCCUUCUCCCUCU